GCAGAAGCCCGGCGCCGGGAAGCCUCAGCUCGCCUGAAGGCAGGUCCCCUCUGACGCCUCCGGGAGCCCAGGUUUCCCAGAGUCCUUGGGACGCAGCGACGAGUUGUGCUGCUAUCUUAGCUGUCCUUAUAGGCUGGCCAUUCCAGGUGGUGGUAUUUAGAUAAAACCACUCAAACUCUGCAGUUUGGUCUUGGGGUUUGGAGGAAAGCUUUUAUUUUUCUUCCUGCUCCGGUUCAGAAGGUCUGAAGCUCAUACCUAACCAGGCAUAACACAGAAUCUGCAAAACAAAAACCCCUAAAAAAGCAGACCCAGAGCAGUGUAAACACUUCUGGGUGUGUCCCUGACUGGCUGCCCAAGGUCUCUGUGUCUUCGGAGACAAAGCCAUUCGCUUAGUUGGUCUACUUUAAAAGGCCACUUGAACUCGCUUUCCAUGGCGAUUUGCCUUGUGAGCACUUUCAGGAGAGCCUGGAAGCUGAAAAACGAGGCAUUUCAUCCUUCAUGAAGCCAUUCAGGAUUUUGAAUUGCAUAUGAGUGCUUGGCUCUUCCUUCUGUUCUAGUGAGUGUAUGAGACCUUGCAGUGAGUUUAUCAGCAUACUCAAAAUUUUUUUCCUGGAAUUUGGAGGGAUGGGAGGAGGGGGUGGGGCUUACUUGUUGUAGCUUUUUUUUUUUUUACAGACUUCACAGAGAAUGCAGUUGUCUUGACUUCAGGUCUGUCUGUUCUGUUGGCAAGUAAAUGCAGUACUGUUCUGAUCCCGCUGCUAUUAGAAUGCAUUGUGAAACGACUGGAGUAUGAUUAAAAGUUGUGUUCCCCAAUGCUUGGAGUAGUGAUUGUUGAAGGAAAAA
rnacentral:lncRNA from 1 species